GUACACUCCUACGGGAGGCAGCAGUGGGGAAUUUUGGACAAUGGGCGCAAGCCUGAUCCAGCCAUGCCGCGUGCGGGAAGAAGGCCUUCGGGUUGUAAACCGCUUUUGUCAGGGAAGAAAAGGUUCUGGCUAAUACCUGGGACUCAUGACGGUACCUGAAGAAUAAGCACCGGCUAACUACGUGCCAGCAGCCGCGGUAAUACGUAGGGUGCAAGCGUUAAUCGGAAUUACUGGGCGUAAAGCGUGCGCAGGCGGUUAUGCAAGACAGAGGUGAAAUCCCCGGGCUCAACCUGGGAACUGCCUUUGUGACUGCAUGGCUAGAGUACGGUAGAGGGGGAUGGAAUUCCGCGUGUAGCAGUGAAAUGCGUAGAUAUGCGGAGGAACACCGAUGGCGAAGGCAAUCCCCUGGACCUGUACUGACGCUCAUGCACGAAAGCGUGGGGAGCAAACAGGAUUAGAAACCCCAGUAGUCCC
rnacentral:rRNA from 1 species